ACACUUGCUGCACACAGACCUCCCCUGCAGUGCAUCCCUUUGGGUCGCCCCGGGAGAGCCAGGGCUGCGGGCAGUUCCCACACCAACUCAGACCGCAUCUGUCCACUGCCUAGCGGGGCACCUCUCUGCCAAUCCCGAAGGGCUGCUCUCGCGUCCUCACGGGAAAGGUAGUUUCCAGGUUGGGCGCCAACAGCGCCAGGCUUUGAGCGUGGGCUCUGCGCAUGCCUCAUCCACUGGCUACCUCUGCGUUUCUGCGUUUCCGCCUUUCCUUUUGUUUGUCUCACGUUUUGCGUGGGAGGCGGUCCCGGGAUUUCAGGGGUCUACCGGCUCUCUUAUGGCGAAUGCAACCCGAAGAGAGAGUGAGGGUAUUGUGCUCACAAACCAGAGGUGAUCUUCAGGCUGGAACAAGGAGAAGAACCAUGGAGACUGGAGGAAGAAUUCCCAAGCCAGAGCUUUCCAGAAGUCUGGACAGCUGAUCACCUGAAAGAGAGGAGCCAAGAAAAUCAAUCUAAACAUUUGUGGGAAGUUGUAUUCAUCAAUAAUGAAAUGCUGACUAAGGAACAAGAUGUCAUCAGCCUCAGGAGAGAGUGGUAUGUACCUUGAAAUAACUCACCGAGACACAAACUUGCUGACUUCUUGUCCUCCAUCUCAGAGAAGAUAUGGAAGAUAUGAAGGAUGGAGAAAAAGAGGAAGAGGAAAUGUGAUGGUGGAGUGGGUAACAUAAAAAAGGGAAGGCAAAUAAGUGUAUGUGUUUUCAGCGGCUUCUCACUUUCUUUUGGCCCAUCAAGGAAACCAACACAUCCGAGGAGAGUGCUGAUAGGCUGCUCUUAGCCGGGACCACACUUGUGCUUUGAAAACAACCCCCAAAAUCCCUGCAGGCAAUUGAAGGAUGUCCCGAGAACAUCCUCCCAGGGAGCAGAUACCCAUUCUGUAGAAGCUCUAAGCCUGCUGGGCUAAGCCCUCCAUAGGCCACUUUAAUGAGGAGGAGAGGCUGUAGGUGGUGGUAGGACCACCAUGUUGCAUGACUUUUCUGUGUGCCCCGUCUUUUGACUCUGUCUCAA
rnacentral:lncRNA from 1 species